rnacentral:rRNA from 1 species
UAACAAGGAUUCCCCUAGUAACGGCAAGUGAACCGGGAAGAGCUCAAAUUUGUAAUCUGGCCCUUGGGUCCGAGUUGUAGUCUAUAGAGGCGUUUUCCGCGCCGGACCGUGUCCAAGUCCCUUGGAAGAGGGUAUCAAAGAGGGUGACAAUCCCGUACUUGACACGACGACCGGUGCUAUGUGAUACGUCUUCGACAAGUCGAGUUGUUUGGGAAUGCAGCUCAAAAUGGGUGGUAAAUUCCAUCUAAAGCUAAAUAUUGGCGAGAGACCGAUUGCGAACAAGUACCGUGAGGGAAAGAUGAAAAGCACUUUGGAAAGAGAGUUAAACAGUACGUGAAAUUGUUAAAAGGGAAACGAUUGAAGUCAGUCUUGUUGGUUGGAUUCAGCUCGGUCUCCGGGUGUAUUUCCUUCCAACGGGUCAACAUCAGUUUGGAUCGGCGGAUAAAGAUGGAGGGAACGUGGCUCUCUCGGGAGUGUUAUAGCCCUCUGUUGCAUACGCUGGUCUGGACUGAGGCAUGCAGCUCGCCUUUAUGGCCGGGAUUCGUCCACGUUCGAGCUUAGGAUGUUACAUAAUGGCUUUAAACGACCCGUCUUGAAACACGGACCAAGGAGUCUAACAUAUCUUCGAGUGUUUGGGUCUCAAACCCGAGCGCGUAAUGAAAGUGAAUGUAGGAGGGAUCCGCAAGGAGCACCUUCGACCGAUCUGGAUCUUUAGUGAUGGAUUAGAGUAAGAGCAAUAAUGCUGGGACCCGAAAGAUGGUGAACUAUGCCUGAAUAGGGCGAAGCCAGGGGAAACUUUGGCGGAGGCUCGUAGCGAUUCAGACGUGCUAAUCGAUCGUCAAAUCCGGG